rnacentral:pre_miRNA from 2 species
AGAGUGGGAUGCAGCCAAGGAUGACUUGCCAGCACCUCAUAAUGAAGAGGGAAGACAGACAUCACGAAUUGCCUGGAAAUCCUUGGCUCCAUCUUGCUCUCU